rnacentral:rRNA from 1 species
GACGAACGCUGGCGGCGUGCUUAACACAUGCAAGUCGAACGGAAAGGCCCUGCUUUUGUGGGGUGCUCGAGUGGCGAACGGGUGCGUAACACGUGAGUAACCUGCCCUAGACUUUGGGAUAACUUCAGGUAACUGGGGCUAAUAUCGGAUAGGAGCCCCCGCUGCAUGGUGGGGGUUGGAACGUCUCGGCGGUUGGGGAUGGACUCGCGGCUUAUCAGCUUGCUGGUGGGGUAGUGGCUUACCAAGGCUUUGACGGGUAGCCGGCCUGAGAGGGUGACCGGCCACAAUGGGACUAAGAGACGGCCCAGACUCCAACGGGAGGCAGCAGUGGGGAAUAUUGCACAAUGGGCGGAAGCCUGAUGCAGCAACGCCGCGUGCGGGAUGACGGCCUUCGGGUUGUAAACCGCUUUCGCCUGUGACGAAGCGUGAGUGACGGUAAUGGGUAAAGAAGCACCGGCUAACUACGUG